ensembl:piRNA 21ur-1911 ncRNA
UUAACGUCUGAAUCAUGCGAA